GCCGAUGUAUCCCAACUGGCAGAGGAUGCUAGCUCAAACCUAGUCUGUUGGAGGUUCGAAUCCUCCCAUCGGCA
rnacentral:tRNA from 1 species